GGGGGGGAAANNAANNCCUUGGAAUUCGCCCNGGNGGGGGGGGNNNACGUUUUAAAAGGNANNNUUANNNCGGCAUACUUCUUACGGGAGAAAGCAGGGGACCUUCGGGCCUUGCGCUAUCAGAUGAGCCUAGGUCGGAUUAGCUAGUUGGUGAGGUAAUGGCUCACCAAGGCGACGAUCCGUAACUGGUCUGAGAGGAUGAUCAGUCACACUGGAACUGAGACACGGUCCAGACUCCUACGGGAGGCAGCAGUGGGGAAUAUUGGACAAUGGGCGAAAGCCUGAUCCAGCCAUGCCGCGUGUGUGAAGAAGGUCUUCGGAUUGUAAAGCACUUUAAGUUGGGAGGAAGGGUUGUAGAUUAAUACUCUGCAAUUUUGACGUUACCGACAGAAUAAGCACCGGCUAACUCUGUGCCAGCAGCCGCGGUAAUACAGAGGGUGCAAGCGUUAAUCGGAAUUACUGGGCGUAAAGCGCGCGUAGGUGGUUUGUUAAGUUGGAUGUGAAAUCCCCGGGCUCAACCUGGGAACUGCAUCCAAAACUGGCAAGCUAGAGUAUGGUAGAGGGUGGUGGAAUUUCCUGUGUAGCGGUGAAAUGCGUAGAUAUAGGAAGGAACACCAGUGGCGAAGGCGACCACCUGGA
rnacentral:rRNA from 1 species